CACAUCAAAAUAUAUAGAAUGACUAUUAAUCUUAUACUCCCCAAAGGGGCCCACGAAAAUAAUGAGGGACUUUCUCUUAGAUGGAUGAGUUUUCACUUUGCAAUUAAAAAAAGGUAAGGAGGCCCUUCAUCAUACUUUUAUUUAGGGGAAAAGGGGUGUCAUGAAAGAACUUAAGGCUAUUACUAAUUAAUAACACAAAAUUACAAAGCAGAAAAUAAAUCAAACUUUCAUUGACCAUGCAGAUUUCAAGCAGCUUCAUUGAUUAGACCUUAAUAAUGAUAAGAUUUCCUGGAAAUAGAUAAGAACCUUUAUAAUAGGUUUAGAUAUUUAUAUGUAUUAUUAUUACUUGCAUGAUUGUUUUUGAAACAGUAUAAAUUAAAUAUUUUAGCAAGUAGACUGUUAGUGAAAAUAAUACUACAUUUUGCAAUUAUUUAACCUCUAUUGCAGACUAUUAAAAAUAUGCCUUGUUUGCUAGCCUAAGAGAAAUUUUAUCAUAUAAGAUAAUUUAAUUCCAGAGAUUCUCUUUGUUCUAGAAUAAACAACUUUAUUACAAGAAGUCUCAAAUAUGCUGGACUAGAUUGGUGCCUCUAUAAUGGACUUGUUCGCUCUGUCUCUAUUUCAAAGCAAUUUUUAUAUUAAAUUUUAAUUAUUUGUUUAAAUGUGUCUCUUCCCCACCAAGUUAUUCAUUUUAUGAGGAUAGGCAGUGUACCUUUUUUUCUGAUCUUUUUGAUACUUAGCAUAUAGCAUGAUAUAUAUAUAUAUAUUUUUAUUAUUCAAAUGAAUUUAUCACAUCUGUAGUUGUAUAAUGGUCAUAACAAUCCAGUUUCACAGUAUUUCCAUCCCACAACCCAAGCAUAUCCCCACACCCCCCAAACUGUCUCCUCUGGAGAACAUAAGUUUUUUAAUGUCUGUGAGUCGGCAUCUGUUCUGCAAAGAAGUUCAGACAGUCCUUUUUUCAGAUUCCACAUGUCAGUGAAAGCAUUUGAUGUUGGUGCCUCAUUGUCUGACUGACUUCACUUAGCAUGAUAAUUUCUAGGUCCAUCCAUGUUGCUAAAAAUGCCAUUAUUUCAUUCCUUUUAAUGGUUGAGUAAUAUUCCAUCGUGUAUUGAAUAUAAUAGUAAUAUAAGGCAAAGGUUGAUAAAGUUUGACAUUAUAUAUAUAAAAAGUGGUAGAUGAGAACAAAUUUCUUAACCAUCUAAUCUGGGUGUGCAAAAAAGUAUGAAACUAAUAAUUACAAAUGUGAAAUUGCUGUAGUCUAUUUAAUUAAAAUAUUCUGUUCCUUGCAAUUUCUUAACAUUUCCUAGUUUCCUUUCAUUGUUAAUCUUCCUGUUCAAGUAUCAAUUCAAAUGUUAUAUCCUCAGAGAGGACAUCUCUGACUACUCUCUCUGUAUUUCAAUAUCCCAUUUAUUAUUUUACAGAUCUUAGCACAAAAAUAUAGUCAUCUUGUAUACUGGUUUACUAUUUCACUCUCAUUAAUUUAAAUUCAGUACAGGAAGACAUCUUGCCAAUUUUCACCAUUGUAUCCUCAACAUUUAGCAGAAUGCCUGACAGUUAAUGAAGGAAUGAAUGGAUGGAUGGAUGGGUAUGCAAAUACAUAUAUAUGUCACAUCAAGCUUAAUAAAACAAUGUAUAUGAUAACAUGGAAAAAGUAAGGAAAAUAAGAUGUAACUAUUGUAUUUGCCACAAAAUUAUUCCUGGUAUAUUUUCAAUUGUGAAUCCCUGAUCUUCUGCUUGAGUCCAAAAUUUGUCAAAUCCAUCUUUUGGUAAUGUAAGAUUAUAUACUAUUCUAAAGCUAGAUAUUUUAAAAAAUCAACCUCUAGUUUGAUACCUUAGGCUUUGGUGCUUUAAAGCCUACUCCUUGCUAUAAUACAGAAUUUAUCAUUUACUCUCUUACUUGUUUAGAAAUUAAACUAAGCAAACUUCCUUAGUCAGUUUCAAGAUGUAAGGAAUAUUAUUUAUAUAUAUGUAAGAACAUUUAACUUAGCAUUAGAGCUUAAGAUUUAUCAGAACAAUGUAUUAAAUCUGACAGUCAGUUACCCUAAAAUGGAUAACUGCUAUUUAUAAUGUUAAAAGCAGGCCAUCCAAAGAUGUGCAACCCUGGCAGGGGGAUUAUUUUCUAAAAACAAGCAAGGCCUCAAAGACACAGAAAGAAGCUUUGAACUUUUCCCUUAUGGCCUGGAAGAAUUUAAGCCAGGAAGCCUAUCCCAGAAAGAAAGUUAUCACCAUAGAUAACUAUGAUGAACUAUGAAUUAAGUGUGGUGGACAGGGAGGAUCCAAGAAAAGUCUAUUUGAUCAGUGUCCUCUCUGUGUCCUAAUGUCUUUGGUAUCCCAGCAAAUAUUUGAUUGCCAAACAUUCAUUAACUCUUUUUAUUUUCCUGUGAAUUACCUUACUUCCCCUUAAGCAUUUCUGCCUCAUUCUCCUUAGUCCAGAAUAUAUAUACACACACACACAGAGACAUAUACAUAUAUAGACAUAUAUAUAUACUUCAUGUGCAUAUAUAAUAAUAAAUUUAAUAAAUUUGAUUUUUCUCUUGUCAAUCUGACUUAUAUCAUUUCAAUUGCCAGGCAAAAGCACUAAGAGAAUAAAGAUGGUAAAUUCUCGCCCCAAUAUUAUUCUUUGAAACAAAUUUGCUGUAUUCUUACAUAGUCACAAGAUUUUUUAAAUAGGUAAAACAGCAUUUAUUUUAAAUAAUGAAUUUUUCCCAUGUGUGUAAUACUUUAUAUAACCACACUUAUUGUCAGGAUUCUGGCAAGAAAUAAAUGAGUAGUAUAAAGGUGUUUAAUAAAAAGGGGCCUCAUUUGAAAUGUGUGGACAAAGGGUUUAGAGAAGCAGAAAGUGGUAAUACAAGCUGACAUCAAAAGUCUUGGCCAUCACAGAGGUCAGCCUCCUAGGACAGAGCAAUGCAGAGAAGUACAGAAAAUGGAGUAGGAUGGAUAUAUGGACAAAUUGGGGCACAGCGUGAUAUAAUGCACAUGUAAAUGACUUCUGAGAAUGCUUGAUUUUGAUACCAAAGCUUUAUAAAUUUUGAGAAAAAUUUAGUAGUUUUACAGUUUCUCUCUCCUCCCCCACCCACACACACCUACACAUGGGAAAAUACAUUGUAUCUAAAAGGAAAAUUGAGUCAGGGCAUUCCUAUACACAUCUGCUUCUGCUUACAUCUUUAAUUUUUGAGCACAUUAAAUAUAAUAAUAUAAACUAAGCUCAAAAUCAUAUUGUCUGAAAUCUUGUAAUCAAAGAGAUAACUUAGAUUUGUCUUACAAAGAAAGAGAUAAAUGCUAAAAAGAAUUUGAGAGCUUUUCUACCUAAAAAUAAAUAUGACUUGAGAAGUCCUUCCUACAUAGUGAGUUCCUUGAUUCACUUUUUUCUUAGUAUGUUACAUGUGCAAUAUGAGUGUCAGGUAUGCAUUUGGGGAGUUUUAACCUAGAGGUACAGUAAAAGUAUAUAAGAGGAGUUAUAUAGAGUAUCUUAAGAUCACAGUGGUUUCAAAGUAAUUUUUAGCCCCUUAUAGCUAGGAGGUUACCACAUUUUGUCCCUCUUUGUAUAGGGCUGUCUGGCUGUUGAAGAUGCUUUCUACAUAAUGAAUCUUAUCAAGUUCAAAUCUGUGGAAUUCUCUCCAGCUUUUAAAUAAUUUUUCAUAUAAUGGGAUAAAAUGAGAGUAAUAAUAAUAAUGCACAUUUGACCAUCUUGAGUAAAAUGUGUGGGAGCACAGCCUUCAUAUAAUGGAAAAAUAGAGAAUAAGAUGAGCUCAAAUCAGCAAAACUCUGAGUGCAAAGGAAGUUACUCAAGUUUUCUUCUCUUUUCCUUCCUUCCUUCUUUUCUUCUUUCCUUGUUCCUUCCUUUCUUCUCUUUCCUUCCCUCCUCUCUCUCUCUCCCUCAUUCCUUCUCCCUUUCCUUCUUCUCAAACAGAAUAUCUUAUCUUUUCAAUAGACACUGCCCUGAAGGCCUCUAGGACAAUAAAAUAGAUUCACUUUGAAAUAUACAUCCUAAUGGAAUAUUUGACAUGGAAAUGCAAAUCAAGCCCACACCAGGUAUUUGGCCAUGAUAGAGAGUUCAGAUUAAUUAAUUUCAUUACAUAAAGCUAUUAAUCAGCACCUAUUUUAUAGUCACAUGUUAAAUAGUUAACACUUGUGAAAUGAGUCUAAUAUUUUUAAUAUUUCAACUGACAUAUUUUUACUUCUUCUUAAAUCAUCUUUUUACCAACCUCUAAGGUUGAACCACAAAACUUAUCCACAAGAAAGGGAAUAAGGGAGUAUGCGCCAUUAAGAAUAAAGAGGUCAAAUAAUAGCUUUGACUAAAAUUUACCUCCCCUCAUAAAACUGGGCAAAAAAAAAUAGCCUUUGUUAAGGGAGAGAAAAUAGAUUUCUCAGUUUCACUCACUUUUAACAAGUCAAGAACCAGGUAUGGUGAACUAACUAGAUUUACAAGAGCUUAGACAUUUCUUUCAUCAUGCACUGAAACUAUGCCUUCCACUACUAAUUAUGAACCAUGAAACUUGGUGGCUCCAGUGAAAAAGGAAGAAUAUGGAGUGAGAGGAAUCCUUACUUCAAAGGGAAAAUAUGGAGGGGAAGCCCACACUUUCCCUUUUGGAUGCCACAUGGAAGGAAAAGGAAGAAAAACAAAGGAGAGAAAGCUAACAAUGAGAUACUUAUGCCUUUGUCUCCUCUCUCUGCCCAUGAAGGACAUGGCUUAGGUUAGGGAGAAGUAAAAGGGAAAUUGAUCUUUUGUUAGACAUUGCCCUAUAGAGGACUUCCUAGUCCUGCUUAUGUUAAUCCAUACCCUAGAACCAACUUGGGCAUUCAGCAGAGGUCUGAAACAGAGUAAUAACUGCAUCAUAGCAUGGUUAGACAAGGAUUCUGAUUGGGUAUUCAUGGGACAUACUUGAUUUGUGGAAGGAUGAUAAGGGUUGGAGAAGACAGAGAUGAAGAGAUUCCCUCAUGCCUUCAAGGUGAGUCAGAGAAUUCAGCUGUUUGCUUCUCUGGUCUAUUGGGAAGGAAUUUACCCUAUAUCUAAGGCUAACCAGAGUUAAGGGUGUGGAAAAAAUUUAAAUUUUAUGGCAAGACAAGAAAAAGUUAAAUAUAAAUUCUUCUAGGCCCUUUGGCCUCUUCUCUCCCCCUAGCAUUCCAAGUUCCCAUUGUGGCUCAGCGGAAAUGAAUAUGACUAGCAUCCAUGAGGAUGCAGGUUCAAUCCCUGGCCUUGCUCAGUGGGUUAUGGGUCCAGAAUUUCCCUGAGCUAUGAUGUAGUUUACAGAUGUAGCUCAGAUCAGGCCUUGCUGUGGCUGUGGUAUAGGCCAGCAGCUGUAGCUCAGAUUUAACCCCUAUUCUGGGAACCUC
rnacentral:lncRNA from 1 species